ACAAACUCAUUAUGGUCUUUGGGUGGUUGUGUGAUGAAUAGCGGUUUUUAGUUGGUGGAGCGAUCUGUCUGGUUAAUUCCGAUAACGAAUUAGUUAGUGCAUUUUUCCACUGUACCAGCCGAGCGGCGCAGUGUCAACUGCUUUACUCAGUGUGGGGUUCGGUGCGUUUGUGCAUUCUGCGUGGUGUGAAUGCCUACUUCUUAGAGGGACACGCGGGUGAAGCCGCAUGAAAUAGAGCAGUAACAGGUCUGUGAUGCACUUAGAU
rnacentral:ncRNA from 1 species